UGCAUACCCUAGGCCUGGCAGC
rnacentral:misc_RNA from 1 species